rnacentral:tRNA from 1 species
GGCCGCCUGGCGAAAUGGCAUCGCGUCUGACUACGAUAGUAGGAUCACCUAGCUCUAUCAAUCAGGAGAUUGCAGGUUCGACCCCUGCGGUGGUCA